rnacentral:rRNA from 1 species
AGACGGAGGGUGCAAGCGUUAAUCGGAAUUACUGGGCGUAAAGCGCCCGUAGGCGGCUUGUUAAGUCGGAUGUGAAAGCCCCGGGCUCAACCUGGGAACUGCAUUCGAUACUGGCAGGCUAGAGUAUAGUAGAGGCAAGUGGAAUUCCGGGUGUAGCGGUGAAAUGCGUAGAUAUCCGGAGGAACAUCAGUGGCGAAGGCGACUUGCUGGACUAAUACUGACGCUGAGGAGCGAAAGCGUGGGGAGCAAACGGGAUUAGAAACCCCAGUAGUCC